AGAGGGUCCAGAGAAAGGUGGGGAUUCCCUAACCCCUUCUUUCUUGGCACAGACAGGCAGAGAACACCUCUUUUCUCACCCCUGGGCAGCCCCAGGAAGUCAAUCCUUCCACUAUUCCUGCUCCGUGCCUCUCUUCCCUCUGCCCAGAUUCCUGGGAGACUCAAAACCCUGUUCAACUCUCUCUGGGCUAGCUGCUCCCCUCCCCAAGAGGAUUUCUCUCCAGAGCUGGUAUCAUCGCUUAAUGAUGUUCCACCAACAAGGGGAAGGUUUCUUUUCUGGGAGCUGCUAUCACUGAAUACAUAAAGAAAUUGAGCCUAUAUGAUUUCAAUCUUCACCUUCUGAUGCUGAUGAAACAGGAUUCUAUGCAGAGAAAAUCCUCUCCAGUCAAGUAAUUGCAUCCAUUUCAUCUUCCCAGCCCUCCUCUAGAUGGGAGGUGGAGGACAGUGGGGACCCCAGCCAGAGCCUGGGGACUUGGCUGCCUUGGAACCAGAACCUGGCCCCUCAGAGGAGUUGCAGAAUUUCGAUAGAGGAGUGGCAGGAGGUGUACUGGCUGAAGAGGAGGCCCAAGGAACUCCUUUUCAUACAUCAAAACUGAGCUUAUCACCUCUACCCUGAAGUCAUCCUGGACAUCACUGGUCCCAGUUAAUCACUCACUUAUCUUUGCCAUCCUUGACCUGGGAAGAGAACGUUGCCCUCAUUGGUCUGGAAUCAGCAGGUACCUCAUGGCUGGAGGUGUAUUUUCAGAUGGAGUCUCACUCUGUCACUCAGGCUGGAGUGCAGUGGUGCGAUCUCAGCUUACUGCAACCUCCGCCUCCCGGGUUCAAGUGAUUCUCCUGCCUCAGCUUCCCCAGUAGCAGGGACUACAGGACCACAGACUCCUUUGGCAUCUGGUGAGGCCUGUGGAUUCAUUCUCAGAAUCACAUUUUUAAAUGCACAUAAUAAAAUACAUAGAAUUGCAAAGGAAGUUAAUUAUAUUGAAAUACAGUUAUCAAAAAUAUAAAUAAAACAAGUAUGUGGUACAGUCAUAUGUGUGCUUCUUUAUUAAGUCAUUACAAAGCAAGAUCUAUUUGGAGGUCUAAUAACUGUCAUAUGCUUGAAAAAAUCCUUAACAAUCAUAAUAUAUUAAAAAAUCUGAUUUCUACUUUGGCAAAUCAUAGAUAUUGCUGAAACUGUGGUUUAUUGCCUGCAUUCAUAAUUGAAGGAAAUGCUAGAGUUCAGUGAGAAGGUUGUGAAAAUAAAGAGAGCCUUUUUUUCUCAUCAAG
rnacentral:lncRNA from 1 species